rnacentral:rRNA from 1 species
CCUACGGGGGGCUGCAGUGGGGAAUAUUGCGCAAUGGGCGAAAGCCUGACGCAGCGACGCCGCGUGAGGGAAGAAGGCCUUCGGGUCGUAAACCUCUGUCUAGAGGGAAGAAACCAUUGGGGUCGAACAGGCCUCUUUGCUGACGGUACCUCUGAAGGAAGCACCGGCUAACUCCGUGCCAGCAGCCGCGGUAAUACGGAGGGUGCGAGCGUUAAUCGGAAUCACUGGGCGUAAAGCGCACGUAGGCGGUGUCGUAAGUCGGAUGUGAAAGCCCUCGGCUCAACCGGGGAACUGCAUUCGAUACUGCGAUGCUUGAGUGCCGGAGAGGGUGGCGGAAUUCCAGGUGUAGGAGUGAAAUCCGUAGAUAUCUGGAGGAACACCGGUGGCGAAGGCGGCCACCUGGCCGGCAACUGACGCUGAGGUGCGAAAGCGUGGGGAUCAAACAGGAUUAGAUACCCCAGUAGUC